CAGUCGCCACGGUAAAACGUAGGGGGCGAGCGUUGUCCGAAGUUACUGGGCGUAAAGAGCGCGUAGGCUGGUCUUUAAGUGAGUGGUGAAAGGUUCGGGCUCAACCCGGACACUGCCUUUCAUACUGGGGACCUUGAGUGUGGGAGAGGCGAGUGGAAUGGUCGGUGUAGCGGUGAAAUGCGUAGAUAUCGAUCGGAACACCCAUGGCGAAGGCAGCUCGCUGGCCUAACACUGACGCUGAGGCGCGAAAGCGUGGGGAGCAAACAGGAUUAGAUACCCCAGUAGUCCCUGUCUCUUAUAC
rnacentral:rRNA from 1 species